rnacentral:lncRNA from 1 species
AUUAUUUUUCGCACUUUGUCAAAAACCCACUUUAAAUUUGAAUAUUAUUGAGUACCAAGAGAUAAUUGAAUCGGUUGUCUACCCUCUACAAUAUAUUCUCUAUUGACGAGUAAUAUGAGGAAAGGCCUCAAAUCUAAUGAUUGAGGCCAUUAUAUGCAAGAACAGAGUACGAGGGAAACAAGCAUUUUCCAUACACACAAGCAAAGUCAGAGAGAGGACAAUAAACACUUGACGAGAAAAAUUAGCACUAUCAUAAUCAAACACAUUUGACACCACAGUGUGUCGCGUUCAGCACCACGUUCUUCAACUCCCUCCUGCCUUGCCCGAAUUCGAUGCCUGUGAAUUAUGAGGAUGGACUUUCUUGUUCCUUGCAAACCCAGAAUUACCGUUGGAAUCAUUACCAUCGCCACCAACCUUGUCUUCCCCAUCGCUCUUAUCUCUCUUCCGUCCUUCUUCCUCCAGUUUCUUGAGCUUCUCCUCUUGACGUUUCUUCAUCACAUAGACAUUAGCACAGCUUGCACCGAUGGAAGACAUCGACAGAAACAGCAAGCAAGACAAAGAGACCCAGGAAAAAAGAAGGAAAAGAUCAAAUCUCAAGGUGAAAUUUGCUGCUGCUUUGGUGGAUGAAGAGAUUGGCAAAUCGAGAGGCGCAUUUAUAGAGGCUGAGAGGUGCCCAUGUGUUGACCUAAUUCAUCACUUCACCACCAGCCAAUUAUCUUGGGGUUCCAUCAACUUUCCAA